GGCACCUGAAGCCCUUCGGGGCAGAGGAGGGCGGGGACUCGGGGCGGCUCUCAGCAUCCGCCUGGAGCUCGUGGCGCUGUGUUUCCGUGCUGUGGAGUUGCCUGGUCCGCUUCCUCCCCGCGAAUAAGAAUAAAAGAUUCUGGAGGAGUUGGAGAAGAGUGUAUUCAGCCCCCAAACCACGAGAUCAACAAAGAAAUGCACAAUUUUGAGGAAGAGUUAACUUGUCCCAUAUGUUAUAGUAUUUUUGAAGAUCCUCGUGUACUGCCAUGCUCUCAUACAUUUUGUAGAAAUUGUUUGGAAAACAUUCUUCAGGCAUCUGGUAACUUUUAUAUAUGGAGACCUUUACGAAUUCCACUCAAGUGCCCUAAUUGCAGAAGUAUUACUGAAAUUGCUCCAACUGGCAUUGAAUCUUUACCUGUUAAUUUUGCACUAAGGGCUAUUAUUGAAAAGUACCAGCAAGAAGACCAUCCAGAUAUUGUCACCUGCCCUGAACAUUACAGGCAACCAUUAAAUGUUUACUGUCUAUUAGAUAAAAAAUUAGUUUGUGGUCAUUGCCUUACCAUAGGUCAACAUCAUGGUCAUCCUAUAGAUGACCUUCAAAGUGCCUAUUUGAAAGAAAAGGACACUCCUCAAAAACUGCUUGAACAGUUGACUGACACACACUGGACAGAUCUUACCCAUCUUAUUGAAAAGCUGAAAGAACAAAAAUCUCAUUCUGAGAAAAUGAUCCAAGGCGAUAAGGAAGCUGUUCUCCAGUAUUUUAAGGAGCUUAAUGAUACAUUAGAACAGAAAAAAAAAAGUUUCCUAACGGCUCUCUGUGAUGUUGGCAAUCUAAUUAAUCAAGAAUAUACUCCACAAAUUGAAAGAAUGAAGGAAAUACGAGAGCAGCAGCUUGAAUUAAUGGCACUGACAAUAUCUUUACAAGAAGAGUCUCCACUUAAAUUUCUUGAAAAAGUUGAUGAUGUACGCCAGCAUGUACAGAUCUUGAAACAAAGACCACUUCCUGAGGUUCAACCCGUUGAAAUUUAUCCUCGAGUAAGCAAAAUAUUGAAAGAAGAAUGGAGCAGAACAGAAAUUGGACAAAUUAAGAACGUUCUCAUUCCCAAAAUGAAAAUUUCUCCAAAAAGGAUGUCAUGUUCCUGGCCUGGAACACCAGUGUAUUCAGUAGCGUGGGGCCCUGAUUCAGAAAAGGUUCUUUAUACAGCAGGCAAGCAGCUAAUCAUUAAACCUCUUCAACCAAAUGCUAAAGUUUUGCAGUGGAAAGCUCAUGAUGGCAUUAUUUUAAAAGUAGAUUGGAACUCGGUCAAUGAUCUUAUUUUAUCUGCUGGUGAAGACUGUAAAUAUAAGGUAUGGGAUAGUUACGGCCGCCCACUGUACAAUUCACAACCUCAUGAGCAUCCCAUUACUUCAGUUGCCUGGGCUCCAGAUGGAGAAUUAUUUGCUGUUGGAUCGUUUCAUACUUUACGCUUGUGUGAUAAAACUGGGUGGUCAUAUGCAUUAGAAAAACCCAACACUGGCAGCAUAUUUAAUAUUGCAUGGUCUAUCGAUGGCACUCAGAUUGCUGGAGCCUGUGGAAAUGGACAUGUCGUUUUUGCACAUGUGGUGGAACAACAUUGGGAGUGGAAAAAUUUUCAAGUAACAUUAACGAAAAGAAGAGCCAUGCAGGUUCGUAAUGUUCUUAAUGAUGCAGUGGAUUUACUGGAAUUCCGUGAUAGAGUCAUUAAAGCAUCUUUGAACUAUGCACACUUAGUUGUUUCAACGUCUCUUCAAUGUUACGUGUUCUCCACGAAGAACUGGAACACACCAAUUAUAUUUGAUCUCAAAGAAGGAACUGUUAGUUUGAUUCUGCAGGCAGAAAGACAUUUUCUUCUUGUAGAUGGUAGUAGUAUCUAUUUAUAUUCAUAUGAAGGGCGCUUUAUUUCAUCUCCAAAAUUUCCUGGAAUGAGAACAGAUAUUCUGAAUGCACAGACUGUGUCUUUGAGUAAUGAUACCAUAGCAAUAAGAGACAAAGCUGAUGAAAAAAUAAUCUUCCUCUUUGAGGCAUCAACCGGAAAGCCGUUAGGUGAUGGAAAGUUUCUUUCUCAUAAGAAUGAAAUCUUGGAAAUUGCUCUGGAUCAAAAAGGACUUACCAAUGAUAGAAAAAUUGCUUUCAUUGAUAAAAAUAGAGAUCUCUGUAUCACUUCUGUGAAACGAUUUGGGAAGGAAGAACAAAUUAUCAAGCUUGGAACAAUGGUGCAUACUUUGGCAUGGAACGAUACAUGCAAUAUCCUUUGUGGACUUCAAGAUACUCGAUUUAUAGUGUGGUAUUACCCCAAUACAGUUUAUGUGGACAGAGACAUUUUGCCUAAAACAUUAUAUGAAAGGGAUGCAAGUGAAUUUAGUAAAAAUCCCCAUAUUGUGAGUUUUGUUGGAAAUCAAGUAACUAUUAGAAGAGCUGAUGGCUCCCUGGUUCACAUCAGCAUAACACCAUAUCCUGCUAUUCUCCAUGAAUAUGUAAGCAGUUCAAAAUGGGAAGAUGCUGUGAGACUUUGUCGCUUUGUUAAGGAGCAAACCAUGUGGGCUUGUCUAGCUGCUAUGGCAGUUGCUAAUCGAGAUAUGACUACUGCAGAAAUAGCCUAUGCAGCAAUUGGUGAAAUUGAUAAGGUUCAGUACAUCAAUUCUAUAAAAAAUCUUCCAUCUAAAGAAUCAAAAAUGGCCCACAUACUACUGUUUAGUGGGAACAUACAGGAGGCUGAAAUAGUACUUCUUCAGGCUGGCCUUGUUUAUCAAGCAAUCCAGAUCAAUAUUAAUCUCUACAACUGGGAAAGGGCACUGGAAUUGGCUGUAAAAUACAAAACACAUGUUGAUACAGUUCUUGCUUACCGUCAAAAGUUUUUGGAGACAUUUGGUAAACAGGAAACUAAUAAACGAUACUUGCAUUAUGCAGAAGGUCUCCAAAUAGAUUGGGAGAAAAUCAAAGCCAAAAUUGAGAUGGAAAUUACAAAAGAAAGAGAGCAAUCAUCAAGCAGCCAAUCCAGCAAGAGUAUAGGUUUAAAGCCCUAAAUGCCAUGCGUAUCUUUAAGAAAUUUUAUCUUUUGAAACACGUUCUGAUUAACCAAGGGGCGUGUCACAGAACAGGAAACUGAUACAAUGACACUUGUUUCUUAAGAGAAGCUGAUUGAAUCCUGUAGCACAUUACUGCACAAUUAAUGGCUUUAAACGAGUUACAAGUCGUAAGUUCUUAUGUUUUGGAUCAUGUUGUGGAAUGUAUUCCAAAUGAAAAAUGGAGGAGAAAGUGCACAACAUCAUAUGCUUCAUGGUAUGGCAUAUACAUGUCAAUUAUUUUUACAUAUAACUGUGAUGAAUGAUACAAUUAAAAGCUAUACUACAAAAAAAAAAAAAAAA
rnacentral:lncRNA from 1 species